rnacentral:pre_miRNA from 18 species
UAAAAAACGUCCCAAAAUUCCGAUCCGGCUUCCACAUCGAGCCUCAGCUAGAUCCAUAACUUGCUGGCAAGAUGUUGGCAGUCGCAUUGGAUAAAGGAGACAC